GACGAACGCUGGCGGCGUGCCUAAUACAUGCAAGUCGAGCGGACCAAAGGGAGCUUGCUCCUGGAGGUCAGCGGCGAACGGGUGAGUAACACGUGGGCAACCUGCCUGUAAGACUGGGAUAACAUCGAGAAAUCGGUGCUAAUACCGGAUAAUAAAAAGAACUGCAUGGUUCUUUUUUGAAAGAUGGUUUCGGCUAUCACUUACAGAUGGGCCCGCGGCGCAUUAGCUAGUUGGUGAGGUAACGGCUCACCAAGGCAACGAUGCGUAGCCGACCUGAGAGGGUGAUCGGCCACACUGGGACUGAGACACGGCCCAGACUCCUACGGGAGGCAGCAGUAGGGAAUCUUCCGCAAUGGACGAAAGUCUGACGGAGCAACGCCGCGUGAGUGAUGAAGGUUUUCGGAUCGUAAAACUCUGUUGUUAGGGAAGAACAAGUGCCGUUCGAAAGGGCGGCACCUUGACGGUACCUAACGAGAAAGCCACGGCUAACUACGUGCCAGCAGCCGCGGUAAAG
rnacentral:rRNA from 1 species